CUCCUCAGUGUUGCAGCAGCAGCUCUGGACUCACCUAAAUCCUCUCCAUCAAUCAAUCAAUCUGCUGCCGUCGCUUCUCUCCGGUCACUGAAAGAUUCCGUUGACCAGAUUCUUGAUUUCGGGUUUCCAAUUGCGACCAGUCCUUUGCAGAGGCAUUUGACCUGGACUGGAUGGACCAGUAUGUGAAAGUUGAAAAGAUAGGUGAAGGAACGUAUGGAGUGGUAUACAAGGCUCGUGAUCGUGUAACCAAUGAAACUAUAGCUCUGAAGAAAAUACGCUUGGA
rnacentral:misc_RNA from 1 species